UCGCCAGACUCCUACGGGAGGCAGCAGUGGGGAAUAUUGCACAAUGGGGGAAACCCUGAUGCAGCGACGCCGCGUGAGUGAGGAAGUAUUUCGGUAUGUAAAGCUCUAUCAGCAGGGAAGAAAAUGACGGUACCUGACUAAGAAGCCCCGGCUAACUACGUGCCAGCAGCCGCGGUAAUACGUAGGGGGCAAGCGUUAUCCGGAUUUACUGGGUGUAAAGGGAGCGUAGACGGCGAUGCAAGUCUGAAGUGAAGGGCGGGGGCUCAACCCCCGGACUGCUUUGGAAACUGUAUGGCUGGAGUGCAGGAGAGGUAAGUGGAAUUCCUAGUGUAGCGGUGAAAUGCGUAGAUAUUAGGAGGAACACCAGUGGCGAAGGCGGCUUACUGGACUGUAACUGACGUUGAGGCUCGAAAGCGUGGGGAGCAAACAGGAUUAGAUACCCCCGUAC
rnacentral:rRNA from 1 species